AAAGACCAGGGGGGCUUGCUCCGGAUGUUAGCGGCGGACGGGUGAGUAACACGUGGGUAACCUGCCUGUAAGACUGGGAUAACUCCGGGAAACCGGAGCUAAUACCGGAUAGUUCCUUGAACCGCAUGGUUCAAGGAUGAAAGACGGUUUCGGCUGUCACUUACAGAUGGACCCGCGGCGCAUUAGCUAGUUGGUGAGGUAACGGCUCACCAAGGCGACGAUGCGUAGCCGACCUGAGAGGGUGAUCGGCCACACUGGGACUGAGACACGGCCCAGACUCCUACGGGAGGCAGCAGUAGGGAAUCUUCCGCAAUGGACGAAAGUCUGACGGAGCAACGCCGCGUGAGUGAUGAAGGUUUUCGGAUCGUAAAGCUCUGUUGUUAGGGAAGAACAAGUGCAAGAGUAACUGCUUGCACCUUGACGGUACCUAACCAGAAAGCCACGGCUAACUACGUGCCAGCAGCCGCGGUAAUACGUAGGUGGCAAGCGUUGUCCGGAAUUAUUGGGCGUAAAGGGCUCGCAGGCGGUUUCUUAAGUCUGAUGUGAAAGCCCCCGGCUCAACCGGGGAGGGUCAUUGGAAACUGGGAAACUUGAGUGCAGAAGAGGAGAGUGGAAUUCCACGUGUAGCGGUGAAAUGCGUAGAGAUGUGGAGGAACACCAGUGGCGAAGGCGACUCUCUGGUCUGUAACUGACGCUGAGGAGCGAAAGCGUGGGGAGCGAACAGGAUUAGAUACCCUGGUAGUCCACGCCGUAAACGAUGAGUGCUAAGUGUUAGGGGGUUUCCGCCCCUUAGUGCUGCAGCUAACGCAUUAAGCACUCCGCCUGGGGAGUACGGUCGCAAGACUGAAACUCAAAGGAAUUGACGGGGGCCCGCACAAGCGGUGGAGCAUGUGGUUUAAUUCGAAGCAACGCGAAGAACCUUACCAGGUCUUGACAUCCUCUGACAACCCUAGAGAUAGGGCUUUCCCUUCGGGGACAGAGUGACAGGUGGUGCAUGGUUGUCGUCAGCUCGUGUCGUGAGAUGUUGGGUUAAGUCCCGCAACGAGCGCAACCCUUGAUCUUAGUUGCCAGCAUUCAGUUGGGCACUCUAAGGUGACUGCCGGUGACAAACCGGAGGAAGGUGGGGAUGACGUCAAAUCAUCAUGCCCCUUAUGACCUGGGCUACACACGUGCUACAAUGGACAGAACAAAGGGCUGCGAGACCGCAAGGUUUAGCCAAUCCCACAAAUCUGUUCUCAGUUCGGAUCGCAGUCUGCAACUCGACUGCGUGAAGCUGGAAUCGCUAGUAAUCGCGGAUCAGCAUUCCCGGCCGAUCCCCC
rnacentral:rRNA from 1 species